ACGCUAAGUUGCUAACACCAAACGCUGGUAAUGCUACCACACAGCAGUCAGCACGCUGACCUCUCCUCAGUCCUCUCCUCGCCGCCCGUAACUCGUCACUCGUCAGUCGUAGGCUCCUAGCAUACGCUGGUCUCUCCUCAGUCCUCUCCUCGCUGCCCGACGCCUGUAACUCACGACUCGCGUCGCUCGAAAGUACAUUGCUCGCAAGUUGCAACUCGAAAGUCAAAGGUCAGUGCUCAAUCCUUAUAAGUUAUAACUCAUAGAUUCUAUCUCCGUCUCUGCUCUAAUACUCUUCCUUUAGGUAUAUUUCAUUUUAUAAUAGGAGCUCAUCGAAAUUCGAAUCUUAAAAAUGAGUAUUGACUAGGUUAUACUAAUGCUUUAGAUUGGUAAAAAUAUAGAAAAAACUAGGAUUAGAUGGGGUCCUUAGUGAAGCACUAGUUAAGGUAAAGGGAGGAUACAUCUUUUUGUUUUUGUGCUAUACAAUUUUAUAUGACCAUAUACAUGGAUGUAAAUUAAGUUGUGCAUGCCAAAAAUCCAAUAAUUAGGAAAAAUUGUACUUGAAAUAUUUAUAAAUGUUAAGUAAGUUGUAGAAAAAUAGAGAUUAAGGCUGUGAUUAUGCAGAGCAAAUCAGCAAGUAAUGCAUAACAUAAAAUUGAUGUCUAAAUUCUUACCUAAAAGUAAAUACAUUAAAUCAACUCAAAUUGAUGAAAAAUUUGUCUUCAAUUCGAUUUUAAAUUAGAAAACCUAUUUAGCUUAUGUUCUUAUAUCUCGUCUUAAAACUUCAGUCUUAGGCUCUUAAGUCUUAGCUUCAUCUAGAUAUCUAUAUAUAUGUAUAUUCAAUUUCAAGUGUUUAUGAUAUAUGGGUAAAUAAUGAUACAUCCAGUUAACUGUUAUGUUCUCCAAGCCCUGUAAACAAACCAACAAAACUUGUAAAUCCUUAGGACAAUCAUGACCGUUUAUCAAAUAAUGGACAACUGAGAUUUAACUAAGUGAUCACUCACCAUGCAACAAAUAUACACAGAAGAAGAUUUCUAAAUGCAACAGAAUCAAAAUAUGAUCAUUCCUUAUGCUAUAUAUUGUAAUGUAUAAUGUCCUUUCGAAUUUUGUUCUCCUUGUUUGUUUCACUUUUUUAUAGAUGACACAAACUGUAAGUAAGGGAAGUGAAAGUGGAGCUUUAAAUGAGAGCAUACCUUAUACCUCAUCUCCCAAUGAGGUUGUAGUUGAUGUUGAUACUUCAAAGAAAGGAAAAACCAUGAAACCUAGAGCUAAUUGUUGGAAGCAUUUUGACAAGUUCACCGAUGAAAAAGGAGCUAGUAAGCCAAAUGCAAGUAUUGUGCAAAACCUUAUGCAGCGUCUACAUCAUCUAAUGGUACGUCAUCAAUGAAUACUCAUAUGAGAACAUGUACUAAAUUUUCUCGUGACACCGUAGAUAAAGGUCAAAAUCUAAUUAAUUUUCUACUAUCUUCAACGGAAGCAAAGGAAGGGGUUAUGAGCACUUGGAAAUUUGACCAAGCACAAAGUAGAAAAGCUUUAGACAAAAUGAUAAUUGUUGACGAGCUACCAUUUAGUUUUGUUGAGAAAGAGAAUUUUAAAAACUUCAUGAGAGUUACAGUGCCGCAAUUUCAUAUUCCUUCUCGUAGAACCGUGACGAGAGAUUCUAAUGAACUGUACCUUGAAGAAAGAAAACUUUUGAAGAAGGUUUUCAAAGAAGCACGUUCAAGAGUUUGUUUUACGACAGAUACUUGGACCUCUAUACAAAAAAUCAACUACAUGUGUUUGACAACCCAUUUUAUAGAUAGACAUUGGAUUUUGCAUAAAAGAAUAAUAAAUUUUUGUCCAAUUUCUAGUCAUAAGGGCGUGGAUAUGGCGGCUUGCAUUACUUAUUGUUUGCUUGAAUGGGGUUUGGAUAAUGUGUUUGCUAUUACAGUUGAUAAUGCUAGUUCUAAUGAUGUUACUGUGAAAAAAAUGUCUAAAAAAUUGAGCAAUUGGGGAACUAACAUUAUGGAUGGUGAACAUAUUCAUGUGAGGUGUAUGGCACAUAUCCUUAAUCUUAUUGUGAAAGAUAGGUUGAAGGAAAUUGGUAAGUCUGUAAAGCUAGUGAGACAAGCCGUGAAAUACAUUAAACAAUCUCCCGCAAGACUUAGAAAGUUUAAAGAAAAUUAUGAAUCUGAAUUGAUAACUUGUAAGAAAUCAUGAUGUUUAGAUGUUCCUACUAGGUGGAACUCUACAUAUUCGAUGCUUGAUAUAGCACAACAUUUUGAGCUUGCAUUUGAAAGAUAUAGUUUUUAAGAUAUUGAAUACUUGAAUCAUCUUCGUACCUUUGGUUCUGAUUCUUUUGAAAACAAAGAUGAAACUAGUGUUGAAGACGGAACUAGUGUUGAAGAUGAAACUAGUGUUGAUGAUGGAACUACUUCAAAUAUUCUUUCAAGUGUUGACUGGAAAAAUGUGAGAUCAAUGGUGAAUUUCUUGAAACUUUUUAUUUACUUACUUUGAAGGUCUCUGGUUCUAAUUAUGUCACUAGCAAUACAAACUUAGUUGAAAUUGCUGAACUUAAUCUUAUUUUGAAAGAGAUGAUGACAAAUGAAGAUUGUAAUUUGAAAGAUAUGGCAGAAAGUAUGAAUGAAAAGUUCAAAAAGUAUUGGGGUGAACCACAAAAAAUGAACAAGAUGAUCUUUAUUUCAUCUGUAUUGGAUCCCCGUAACAAGCUUGAUUAUGUUCCAUUUGCAAUUGUGGAUAUGUUUGGAAAAGAAGUUGGGGAAAAGCUAUGUUCAGAAGUGAAAAAAUACAUGAACAAACUGUUUGAAUAUUAUGUCAAGAAAUCCCCAAAAACUCUUUACAAGUACCAUCUUCACCCACUUCAUCUGACAAUUCAUCAAGUAUAUCUAGUGUGGGUGGUUGUGCCAACUUUGUAAAUAGAGGAAGAAUGAGAACGAAACAACAAUUUUAGAAGCAUAAAGAAGUUAGUGGAAGUUCAGGUAAUAAAUCGGAAUUGGAAAGAUAUCUUGUUGAAGAUAUUGAGCCAGAUAGUGAUGACUUUGAGUAUAUUAAUGUGGUGGAAAGUUGAUGAGCCGAGAUUUCCUAUUCCCGCGGAGAUGGUUCGUGUUGUGUUAGUCUUUCCUAUUUCAACUGUCGCAUCAGAAUGUGCAUUCAGCACAGGAGGUCGUGUUCUUGAUCCCUUUAGGAGUUCAUUAACUCCUAAAAUUGUGCAAUCUCUUAUUUGUGUUCAAGAUUGGCUUAGAAGUGAGUCUUUUCCAAUCAAUAUUGAGGAAGAUUUAGAGUAUCUUGAACAACUUAAACUGGAUUUUGCUUGUAGUGGGACCGAACCUAGUAUAAUUGAUAUAUAGUUGCAGCUUGUAAGUUCAACUAUCAACUAGUGAUGUGUGGUAACGAGGAGGUACAGAUGAAAUGUCUUAUGUUACCUAUUUUUUCCUAUGUAGGCGAUAAAUGAUAAUGCACAAACUCCUAAUGAUCAAGAUAGAGGUACAGAUGAAGUCAGGAAGAACAAAAUAUUGAUCACUUUGUUAAUUAAUUUUUAGAGAUGUUUGAUAGAGACUUUAUUUAUGUAGUUUAGCUUUUGGCUUUUAAGUCCCUUAAAAAAACUUAUUCAAUUGCUCCUAAUAUAUAAAUUUGUUAGACAAGAAGUACUAAAGUCCACCUGUUAAUUAAAUUUGGUUAAACCAAAAUCGAACCGAACCGAAAUUAUAAUAACCGAACUAAACCAAAUUUAUUUUGAUUUGAUUUGGUUUCACAUGUGACCAAAUCAAAAACCGAAAAACUGAACCGAUAUUUUAUGAACCGAACCGAACCGACCGAACGCCCAACCCUACUUACAAGUAGCUUUCUAAACUAUUUAUGUUCUAUAAAUAUGAAAUUAUUUCAGUUCAUUUGUAAUUCAAUUUAAAGUUGAAUAAUAUAUGAGCCUCUUUUUA